rnacentral:rRNA from 1 species
UACGUAGGGUGCAAGCGUUAAUCGGAAUUACUGGGCGUAAAGCGUGCGCAGGCGGCUUUGCAAGACAGAUGUGAAAUCCCCGGGCUUAACCUGGGAAUUGCAUUUGUGACUGCAUGGCUGGAGUGCGGCAGAGGGGGAUGGAAUUCCGCGUGUAAGCAGUGAAAUGCGUAGAUAUGCGGAGGAACACCGAUGGCGAAGGCAUCCCCUGGGCCUGCACUGACGCUCAUGCACGAAAGCGUGGGGAGCAAACAGG